rnacentral:rRNA from 1 species
UACGUAGGGUGCAGGCGUUAAUCGGAAUUACUGGGCGUAAAGCGUGCGCAGGCGGUUUGCUAAGACAGGUGUGAAAUCCCCGGGCUUAACCUGGGAACUGCGCUUGUAACUGGCAAGCUGGAGUGUGGCAGAGGGGGUGGAAUUCCGACGUGUAGCAGUGAAAUGCGUAGAGAGUGUGGAGGAACACCGAUGGCGAAGGCAGCCCCUGGGCUAACACUGACGCUCAUGCACGAAAGCGUGGGGAGCAAACAGG